UGGGGAAUAUUGCACAAUGGGCGCAAGCCUGAUGCAGCAACGCCGCGUGAGGGACGACGGCCUUCGGGUUGUAAAGCUCUGUGGGGAGGGACGAAAGACUACGGUCGAAUAGGCCGUAGGUUGACGGUACCUCCUUAGCAAGCACCGGCUAACUCUGUGCCAGCAGCCGCGGUAAGACAGAGGGUGCAAACGUUGCUCGGAAUCACUGGGCGUAAAGGGCGGGUAGGCGGGGAGGGAAGGCGGGCGGGG
rnacentral:rRNA from 1 species